GAUGAACGCUGGCGGCGUGCCUAAUACAUGCAAGUCGAGCGAACAGAUGAGGAGCUUGCUCCUCUGACGUUAGCGGCGGACGGGUGAGUAACACGUGUAUAACCUACCUAUAAGACUGGGAUAACUUCGGGACACCGGCGCUAAUACCGGAUAAUAUCUUGAACCGCAUGGUUCAAUAGUGAAAGACGGUUUUGCUGUCUCUUAUAGCUGGAUCCGCGCCGCAUUAGCUAGUUGGUAAGGUAACGGCUUACCAAGGCAACGAUGCGUAGCCGACCUGAGAGGGUGAUCGGCCACACUGGAACUGAGACACGGUCCAGACUCCUACGGGAGGCAGCAGUAGGGAAUCUUCCGCAAUGGGCGAAAGCCUGACGGAGCAACGCCGCGUGAGUGAUGAAGGUCUUCGGAUCGUAAAACUCUGUUAUUAGGGAAGAACAAAUGUGUAAGUAACUAUGCACGUCUUGACGGUACCUAAUCAGAAAGCCACGGCUAACUACGUG
rnacentral:rRNA from 1 species